rnacentral:rRNA from 1 species
AACGAACGCUGGCGGCAUGCCUAACACAUGCAAGUCGAACGAAGGCUUCGGCCUUAGUGGCGCACGGGUGCGUAACGCGUGGGAAUCUGCCCUUAGGUUCGGAAUAACAGUUAGAAAUGACUGCUAAUACCGGAUGAUGACAUAAGUCCAAAGAUUUAUCGCCUGAGGAUGAGCCCGCGUAGGAUUAGCUAGUUGGUGUGGUAAAGGCGCACCAAGGCGACGAUCCUUAGCUGGUCUGAGAGGAUGAUCAGCCACACUGGGACUGAGACACGGCCCAGACUCCUACGGGAGGCAGCAGUGGGGAAUAUUGGACAAUGGGCGCAAGCCUGAUCCAGCAAUGCCGCGUGAGUGAUGAAGGCCUUAGGGUUGUAAAGCUCUUUUACCCGUGAUGAUAAUGACAGUAGCGGGAGAAUAAGCCCCGGCUAACUCCGUG